rnacentral:misc_RNA from 1 species
AUUGAUAUCUAAAUUUUACAGCUGAAUAAUGUUGAUCCAGAAACAAAUAUAUUGGAAAGAAUGGAAGAGUUAACAAAGUUCUGACGACAAAAGACGAGAGGUAAAAGGCAAAUCAUGACGGACGAAUCUUUCCAUACGAAAAGCAAUAGAGAGAGUGAGUGUGUGAGGAGAGAGACGACUAGUUUUACAUGUCACGGCCAUACAUAAAACACCACCAUCACCAUCAGUCAACCAUUCAAUAAGAGCCAUGCAUCUUUAAGAGGAGCAGCAACCAGAUUUCUGAUUCACAGGUUGUCCUCGAAUAUUCACUGUUGGUGGCCUUGCGUUGUUCAUCGGUUGUGUCGCCAUCCUAUAAAAAAAUGAACCCGAAACAAGCAA